UGGCUCAGUGGUAGAGCGCUUGCCUUGCAUGCUUGAGGCCCUGGGUUCGAUUCCCCAG
rnacentral:tRNA from 1 species